rnacentral:misc_RNA from 1 species
GGGUGACUAAUAUUCAAAUGCUUCAUUUUCCCACUCUUUUCAUCUCAUGGCAUACAUGUAUAUUUACUAAAUUUGGAGGGGGAAAAAAUGAAAUUUCUAUUUAUUUACAAGCAUUAGAAGCUGAACAAGACCUCCACAUGUUCCCUCUUUACAGCAUGAAAAUAAGGCAACCAACCUGAACAAAAUUUUAGUUUGAGACUUUUAAGGAACCAAGGCAUUUGAUGAACUAUGGACAAUAAUUUCAAUUUCUUUAAAUUGAAUAUAAACUUUAAAUUUCAAGGCCAACAGAAAGACCCAGCCAAGCACAAAUUCCAUCAGGCCCUAAACAAAAUUCGCCCAGAUGAGAAUUCCUUAAAAAUUUUAGGAACUGACCUUGAGGACACCAUUAGUUUAAAGGGCC